CAAUAGCUACUUGCAUCAUUGAAAAUAUGAUGCAAGAUCGACUAUGUCGAAUAAAAUUCUAGGUAGAAUUAUGAUAAUGACAUUGUCUGCCUAUGUGUCUUGACCAAAUUACGUGCCAGCAGUCGCGGUAAUACGUAGAAGACUAGUGUUAUUCAUGUUUAAUCGGUUUAAAGGGUACCUAGACGGUAAAUCAAGCCUAAAAGGAAGGUAAUAAAGGGACUAAUUUACUAGAGUUACUUAUGAGGGGGUAUUAAAGUACUGCUGGUGUAGAGAUGAAAUUCUGUCAUACCUCUUUUCAAUAGAAAAAUAAUGGCACAGGUAUAGGCGAAAGCAUCCCCUUAUGUGAUAACUGACGUUGAGGGACGAAGGCUUUGUGUAGCGAACAGGAUUAGAUACCCCAGUAGUCAAAGCAGAAAAUGAUGAAUGUCAUAGAUUAGAUAUAUAAGUUUAUUCUAUAAAUGAAAGUGUAAGCAUUCCACCUCAAGAGUAAUUUGGCAACAUUGGAACUGAAAUCAUUAGACCGUUUCUGAAACCAGUAGUGAAGUAUGUUGUUUAAUUUGAUGAUCCGCAAAAAACCUUACCACAAUUUGAAUAUUUAUAUCUUUUAUUGUUUUUCUUUUUAACUUUCUUCUGAUUUUCUACUUAAAAGAAAACAAUAACAAGAAAAAAGAGGCAAUAAGAU
rnacentral:rRNA from 1 species